UCUAACGUGGCAGAUAAGUGCGGUGGAUUUAAGCUCCACAAAUAAAGGUUAAAACUUUCAUUAGAA
rnacentral:tRNA from 1 species